UACGAAGGGGGCUAGCGUUGUUCGGGUUUACUGGGCGUAAAGCGCGCGUAGGCGGGUCGGUAAGUCGGGGGUGAAAGCCCGGGGCUCAACCCUGGAACUGCCCUUGAUACUGGCGACCUUGAGUGCGGAAGAGGUGAGUGGAAUUCCUAGUGUAGAGGUGAAAUUCGUAGAUAUUCGGAGGAACACCAGUGGCGAAGGCGGCUCACUGGUCCGGUACUGACGCUGAGGUGCGAAAGCGUGGGGAGCAAACAGG
rnacentral:rRNA from 1 species